AUUUCCGAAUGGGGAAACCCAGUGUGAUUCGUCACACUAUCAUUAACUGAAUCCAUAGGUUAAUGAGGCGAACCGGGGGAACUGAAACAUCUAAGUACCCCGAGGAAAAGAAAUCAACCGAGAUUCCCCCAGUAGCGGCGAGCGAACGGGGAGGAGCCCAGAGCCUGAAUCAGCAUGUGUGUUAGUGGAAGCGUCUGGAAAGGCGCGCGAUACAGGGUGACAGCCCCGUACACAAAAGCGCAUGUGCUGUGAGCUCGAUGAGUAGGGCGGGACACGUGGUAUCCUGUCUGAAUAUGGGGGGACCAUCCUCCAAGGCUAAAUACUCCUGACUGACCGAUAGUGAACCAGUACCGUGAGGGAAAGGCGAAAAGAACCCCGGCGAGGGGAGUGAAAAAGAACCUGAAACCGUGUACGUACAAGCAGUGGGAGNNNNNNNNNNNNNNNNNNNNNNNNNNNNNNNNNNNNNNNNNNNGGGCGUUAAGUUGCAGGGUAUAGACCCGAAACCCGGUGAUCUAGCCAUGGGCAGGUUGAAGGUUGGGUAACACUAACUGGAGGACCGAACCGACUAAUGUUGAAAAAUUAGCGGAUGACCUGUGGCUGGGGGUGAAAGGCCAAUCAAACCGGGAGAUAGCUGGUUCUCCCCGAAAGCUAUUUAGGUAGCGCCUCGUGAAUUCAUCUCCGGGGGUAGAGCACUGUUUCGGCUAGGGGGCCAUCCCGGCUUACCAACCCGAUGCAAACUGCGAAUACCGGAGAAUGUUAUCACGGGAGACACACGGCGGGUGCUAACGUCCGUCGUGAAGAGGGAAACAACCCAGACCGCCAGCUAAGGUCCCAAAGUCAUGGUUAAGUGGGAAACGAUGUGGGAAGGCCCAGACAGCCAGGAUGUUGGCUUAGAAGCAGCCAUCAUUUAAAGAAAGCGUAAUAGCUCACUGGUCGAGUCGGCCUGCGCGGAAGAUGUAACGGGGCUAAACCAUGCACCGAAGCUGCGGCAGCGAACGUAUCACCCAAGACAACUUUACGGAGUUGACGAUUGACGGAGCGAAGCGACGUCAAAGCGUUCAUUAAAGUCGAGUUGGCUUAGGGAUACGUUCGUUGGGUAGGGGAGCGUUCUGUAAGCCUGUGAAGGUGUGUCGUGAGGCAUGCUGGAGGUAUCAGAAGUGCGAAUGCUGACAUAAGUAACGAUAAAGCGGGUGAAAAGCCCGCUCGCCGGAAGACCAAGGGUUCCUGUCCAACGUUAAUCGGGGCAGGGUGAGUCGACCCCUAAGGCGAGGCCGAAAGGCGUAGUCGAUGGGAAACGGGUUAAUAUUCCCGUACUUGGUGUUACUGCGAAGGGGGGACGGAGAAGGCUAUGUUGGCCGGGCGACGGUUGUCCCGGUUUAAGCGUGUAGGUGUGUGUUCCAGGUAAAUCCGGUUCACUUUAACACUGAGGCGUGACGACGAGGCACUACGGUGCUGAAGCAACAAAUGCCCUGCUUCCAGGAAAAGCCUCUAAGCAUCAGGUAACACGAAAUCGUACCCCAAACCGACACAGGUGGUCAGGUAGAGAAUACCAAGGCGCUUGAGAGAACUCGGGUGAAGGAACUAGGCAAAAUGGUGCCGUAACUUCGGGAGAAGGCACGCUGACACGUAGGUGAAGUGAUUUACUCAUGGAGCUGAAGUCAGUCGAAGAUACCAGCUGGCUGCAACUGUUUAUUAAAAACACAGCACUGUGCAAACACGAAAGUGGACGUAUACGGUGUGACGCCUGCCCGGUGCCGGAAGGUUAAUUGAUGGGGUCAGCGCAAGCGAAGCUCCUGAUCGAAGCCCCGGUAAACGGCGGCCGUAACUAUAACGGUCCUAAGGUAGCGAAAUUCCUUGUCGGGUAAGUUCCGACCUGCACGAAUGGCGUAAUGAUGGCCAGGCUGUCUCCACCCGAGACUCAGUGAAAUUGAACUCGCUGUGAAGAUGCAGUGUACCCGCGGCAAGACGGAAAGACCCCGUGAACCUUUACUAUAGCUUGACACUGAACAUUGAGCCUUGAUGUGUAGGAUAGGUGGGAGGCUUUGAAGUGUGGACGCCAGUCUGCAUGGAGCCGACCUUGAAAUACCACCCUUUAAUGUUUGAUGUUCUAACGUGGACCCGUAAUCCGGGUUGCGGACAGUGUCUGGUGGGUAGUUUGACUGGGGCGGUCUCCUCCUAAAGAGUAACGGAGGAGCACGAAGGUUGGCUAAUCCUGGUCGGACAUCAGGAGGUUAGUGCAAUGGCAUAAGCCAGCUUGACUGCGAGCGUGACGGCGCGAGCAGGUGCGAAAGCAGGUCAUAGUGAUCCGGUGGUUCUGAAUGGAAGGGCCAUCGCUCAACGGAUAAAAGGUACUCCGGGGAUAACAGGCUGAUACCGCCCAAGAGUUCAUAUCGACGGCGGUGUUUGGCACCUCGAUGUCGGCUCAUCACAUCCUGGGGCUGAAGUAGGUCCCAAGGGUAUGGCUGUUCGCCAUUUAAAGUGGUACGCGAGCUGGGUUUAGAACGUCGUGAGACAGUUCGGUCCCUAUCUGCCGUGGGCGCUGGAGAACUGAGGGGGGCUGCUCCUAGUACGAGAGGACCGGAGUGGACGCAUCACUGGUGUUCGGGUUGUCAUGCCAAUGGCACUGCCCGGUAGCUAAAUGCGGAAGAGAUAAGUGCUGAAAGCAUCUAAGCACGAAACUUGCCCCGAGAUGAGUUCUCCCUGAGACUU
rnacentral:rRNA from 1 species